GCACGGGCAGGGGUAACUCUGUCAGUGGCGGACGGGUGAGUAACGCGUAGGUAUCUAUCCUCGGGUGGGGGACAACCACGGGAAACUGUGGCUAAUACCGCAUGAUGACUGAGGUCUAAAGGCGCAAGUCGCCUGAGGAGGAGCCUGCGUCCGAUUAGCUUGUUGGUGGGGUAAUGGCCUACCAAGGCUCCGAUCGGUAGCUGGUCUGAGAGGAUGAUCAGCCACACUGGGACUGAGACACGGCCCAGACUCCUACGGGAGGCAGCAGUGGGGAAUAUUGGACAAUGGGCGAAAGCCUGAUCCAGCAAUGCCGCGUGGGUGAAGAAGGUCUUCGGAUUGUAAAGCCCUUUCGGCGGGGACGAUGAUGACGGUACCCGCAGAAGAAGCCCCGGCUAACUUCGUG
rnacentral:rRNA from 1 species